AAUAGAUACCCGGGUAGUCCACGCCGUAAACGAUGGAUACUAGCUGUUGGGGGCGACCUCAGUGGCUAAGCGAAAGUGAUAAGUAUCCCACCUGGGGAGUACGUUCGCAAGAAUGAAACUCAAAGGAAUUGACGGGGGCCCGCACAAGCGGUGGAGCAUGUGGUUUAAUUCGAUGAUACGCGAGGAACCUUACCAAGGCUUAAAUGCAGACUGACCGUUUUGGAAACAGAACUUUCGCAAGACAGUCUACAAGGUGCUGCAUGGUUGUCGUCAGCUUGUGCCGUGAGGUGUCAGGUUAAGUCCUAUAACGAGCGCAACCCCUGUUGUUAGUUGCCAGCGAGUAGUGUCGGGAACUCUAACAAGACUGCCAGUGCAAACUGUGGGGAAGGUGGGGAUGACGUCAAAUCAUCACGGCCCUUACGCCUUGGGCUACACACGUGCUACAAUGGCCGGUACAGAGAGCAGCCACCUCGCGAGGGGGAGCGAAUCUACAAAGCCGGUCACAGUUCGGAUCGGAGUCUGCAACUCGACUCCG
rnacentral:rRNA from 1 species